rnacentral:pre_miRNA from 1 species
CUGCUCCUGGAAGCUGAAUUCAGAUGGUGCCAUAGAGUAUUUUAUGGCAUCUAGCACCAUUUGAAAUCAGUGUUCCUGGGCCG